CGAUAGUUUUUUUCUCAAAGUUGCCGGGAUGUCACGUGUCCUACUUACGUCAGUACACUCGUAACAACCCAAAUACUGCGAAACGUAUGUUCGAGCAAAUAAGCCAUUACAUUUACUGUUAACCAAAUUCGACACUCUCGUUGACCUCCUCCACAAAAACUCCUCGCUAUGGGGAGCAAAAAAAACAAAAUAAACGAAGAGCGCCACCUGCUGAAGAACACUUAUCCCUCUCGCUUUGCAUCUUCCUCUCGGUCAAAAGUCCCAUCCGCCAAAGUGCAGAUAAUGUCAGAUAAGUGCCUGUAAUGUCAAUGAGUCUCACGAAACGAAGACAGCAAUUUAGAAAUGAUCCAAUUGUUUAGCUAACGAGAUAUAUAUAUUUAUACAUUCGGUGGAGAAAUGCAUUUACUCAAGCAAAUAGCUAUUGCAGCAAUAUAGCUACUUAGUUAGACAAUAAGUUCACAUUUCUGGAAUAUUUCCAAAGAUCUUUGUUUUGAAAAAACGGCUUGCUGGCUAGCGAAGUUACCAGUGAAAACAACUGUUAUAAGGCUGUAUUCGGGACGUCUGAGAGAAACAAACUGUCAGCUACAGCAAGGUUAUCAGUUGUUUCCUGGGCGAGGACAAGACAAGUGCUACAACUUUCUGCAUCAGCUCUUCGAGCUGAGCCAGUCCUCAACCAUGGCAGGUGAUCUGCGUGGUGUAGCAGAGCAGGCCAAGACCCUGAAGCCUCAGCGCUCCCUCCCUGGGACGCCCGUCACUAACCCACUCAAACACUUCCCCAUCGACCUGCGUACAUCCAUGGACGGAAAGUACAAGGAGAUUGCAGAGGAGCUGUUCACUCGCAGCCUGACGGAGAGUGAGAUGCGCACCGCUCCUUAUGAGUUCCCUGAGGACAGCCCCAUCGAGCAGCUGGAAGAGAGACGCCAACGCCUGGAGAGGCAGAUCAGCCAGGACAUCAAGCUUGAGCCAGAGAUCCUGCUCCGCGCAAAACAGGAGUUCAUGAAAAUCGACAGUGAUGCCGACCUGGAGUUGAUGAAUCAGGAGGGUGGUGUGGACAGGACCGAUGAUGGCUGGAUGAAGGAGAGAGUCUUACCGAUGGAGCGAGAGUACCAGCGUGUGUCAAUAUCAGGGGAGGAGAAGUGUGGGGUGCCCUUCACAGACCUGGUGGAUGCAGCUAAGUGUGUGGUGAAGGCCCUGUUCAUCAGGGAGAAGUACAUCGCUCUGUCCAUGCAGAACUUCUGUAAGACCACUGCCCGUGAGCUGGGGGAGCUGGGAGAGAAACCCCUGGACCUACGCAUCUAUGAGGAGAUCCCUGAGACCCCCGUUGAUGCAGAUGCUCCAGUCCACCCCCCUGUCUCAGAGACUCACCCCUAUGAAAACCAGGUCACCAAGAACAUGCCUGCAGACACAGGGUACAGCUGUAAGAUGGUGGAUGGGGUCAUGCAUGUCUACACCAAGAAGAGCCCCAUGGAGAAGAGUACAGAGUUGGACCUGCCCUACCCAGACCUGAAGGAGUACAUCGCUGACAUGAAUGUCAUGAUGGCUCUCAUCAUCAACGGACCAGUGAAAUCGUUCUGCUACCGCCGGCUGCAGUACCUCAGCUCUAAGUUCCAGAUGCACAUUCUGCUGAACGAGAUGAAGGAGUUGGCAGCCCAGAAGCAGGUUCCUCACCGCGACUUUUACAACAUUCGCAAGGUGGACACCCACAUCCACGCUUCGUCCUGUAUGAACCAGAAGCACCUUCUGCGCUUUAUCAAGCGGGCCAUGAAGAAGUACCCUGGGGAGAUAGUCCACAUGGAGCACGGGCGGGGACAGACCCUCAUGGAGGUGUUUGAGAACAUGAACCUGACCGCCUUCGACCUGAGUGUGGACACACUGGACAUGCACGCGGACCGCAACACGUUCCAUCGCUUCGACAAGUUCAACGCCAAAUACAACCCCAUCGGAGAAUCCAUCCUGAGAGAGAUCUUCAUCAAGACAGACAACCACAUCGAGGGCAAAUACUUUGGCCACAUGAUCAAGGAGGUGAUGGCUGACCUAGAGGAGAGUAAGUACCAGAACGUGGAGCUGCGUCUGUCCAUCUACGGCCGCUCCCGGGACGAGUGGGACAAGCUGGCCCUGCCCCGCCUCUUUGAUGUGUACCGAACCAAGAAGCAGCUGGCUUCCAGGAGAUGUGGGAACAUCUUUAUGCCUCUGUUUGAGGUCACCAUCAACCCCCGCAGCCACCCUGAGUGCACCUUUCCUGUGGUGGGCUUUGACAGCGUGGAUGACGAGUCCAAGCCGGAGCACCACAUCUUCAACAUGGACAGCCCCCUGCCAGCCGACUGGACAGAGGAGGACAACCCUCCCUACUCCUACUACCUCUACUACACCUACGCCAACAUGACCGUGCUCAACCAUCUGCGCAGGAGGCGUGGUUUCCACACGUUGGUGCUGCGCCCUCAUUGCGGGGAGGCGGGGCCUGUCCACCACCUGGUGUCUGGUUUCAUUCUGUCAGAGAACAUCUCCCAUGGGCUGCUGCUCAGGAAGGCUCCAGUGCUGCAGUACCUCUACUACCUGGCUCAGAUUGGCAUCGCCAUGUCCCCCCUGAGCAACAACAGCCUGUUCCUCAGCUACCACCGCAACCCCCUGCCUGAGUAUCUGGCCAGAGGCCUCAUGGUCUCUCUGUCCACUGACGACCCCCUACAGUUCCACUUCACCAAGGAGCCCCUGAUGGAGGAGUACAGCAUCGCCACACAGGUGUGGAAGCUGAGCUCCUGUGACAUGUGUGAGCUGGCCAGGAACAGUGUCCUCAUGAGCGGCUUCUCCCACAAGGCAAAGAGCUACUGGCUGGGGCCCAAAUACAGCAAGGAGGGCCCUGAGAGCAACGACAUCCGUCGCACCAAUGUCCCGGACAUCCGCGUGGCAUACCGCAGUGAGACCCUGCUGGAGGAGCUCAACCUCAUCACCCAUGCUGUGCACACCAAGGAGCUGGACAACAUCGACGAGGAAGACACCCUCUCCAUGGCCCCCGUUGGGGCAGAAGGACACUAAAUCAACAACCCCACCCCGACUUCUAACCCCCGGCCCCUCCCUGCAUGACACUGAGGGGCUGCAGUAUGAGUGGACUCCAGCUUGUUGUUUAACCUCUACCUCUUAUCCCCUUAUCCCCCUCCCACUAGGGAAUUGGACUGUGCACUCGUCUCUCAGCUCUCUUGUACUAAAGCCAAGGAUACAAUGCUCCCUGAGUGGCCCCAUCUCUCUGUCAGUGAUGGGGGUGGUCAGUAUGGACUCAUGUUCCAGUCCCCCCUUCUCCCUCAACCCAGGUUCCCUCUUCAACUCUCUCUGG
rnacentral:lncRNA from 1 species